rnacentral:tRNA from 1 species
UGGGCUGUAGCCAAGCGGUAAGGCAACGGACUUUGACUCCGUCAUCCCGCAGGUCCGAAUCCUGCCAGCCCAGCCA